AGCGUACACGGUGGAUGCCCUGGCAGUCAGAGGCGAUGAAGGACGUGCUAAUCUGCGAUAAGCGUCGGUAAGGUGAUAUGAACCGUUAUAACCGGCGAUUUCCGAAUGGGGAAACCCAGUGUGAUUCGUCACACUAUCAUUAACUGAAUCCAUAGGUUAAUGAGGCGAACCGGGGGAACUGAAACAUCUAAGUACCCCGAGGAAAAGAAAUCAACCGAGAUUCCCCCAGUAGCGGCGAGCGAACGGGGAGGAGCCCAGAGCCUGAAUCAGUGUGUGUGUUAGUGGAAGCGUCUGGAAAGGCGCGCGAUACAGGGUGACAGCCCCGUACACAAAAAUGCACAUACUGUGAGCUCGAUGAGUAGGGCGGGACACGUGGUAUCCUGUCUGAAUAUGGGGGGACCAUCCUCCAAGGCUAAAUACUCCUGACUGACCGAUAGUGAACCAGUACCGUGAGGGAAAGGCGAAAAGAACCCCGGCGAGGGGAGUGAAAAAGAACCUGAAACCGUGUACGUACAAGCAGUGGGAGCACGCUUCGGCGUGUGACUGCGUACCUUUUGUAUAAUGGGUCAGCGACUUAUAUUCUGUAGCAAGGUUAACCGAAUAGGGGAGCCGAAGGGAAACCGAGUCUUAACUGGGCGUUAAGUUGCAGGGUAUAGACCCGAAACCCGGUGAUCUAGCCAUGGGCAGGUUGAAGGUUGGGUAACACUAACUGGAGGACCGAACCGACUAAUGUUGAAAAAUUAGCGGAUGACUUGUGGCUGGGGGUGAAAGGCCAAUCAAACCGGGAGAUAGCUGGUUCUCCCCGAAAGCUAUUUAGGUAGCGCCUCGUGAAUUCAUCUCCGGGGGUAGAGCACUGUUUCGGCAAGGGGGUCAUCCCGACUUACCAACCCGAUGCAAACUGCGAAUACCGGAGAAUGUUAUCACGGGAGACACACGGCGGGUGCUAACGUCCGUCGUGAAGAGGGAAACAACCCAGACCGCCAGCUAAGGUCCCAAAGUCAUGGUUAAGUGGGAAACGAUGUGGGAAGGCCCAGACAGCCAGGAUGUUGGCUUAGAAGCAGCCAUCAUUUAAAGAAAGCGUAAUAGCUCACUGGUCGAGUCGGCCUGCGCGGAAGAUGUAACGGGGCUAAACCAUGCACCGAAGCUGCGGCAGCGACACUAUGUGUUGUUGGGUAGGGGAGCGUUCUGUAAGCCUGCGAAGGUGUACUGUGAGGUAUGCUGGAGGUAUCAGAAGUGCGAAUGCUGACAUAAGUAACGAUAAAGCGGGUGAAAAGCCCGCUCGCCGGAAGACCAAGGGUUCCUGUCCAACGUUAAUCGGGGCAGGGUGAGUCGACCCCUAAGGCGAGGCCGAAAGGCGUAGUCGAUGGGAAACAGGUUAAUAUUCCUGUACUUGGUGUUACUGCGAAGGGGGGACGGAGAAGGCUAUGUUGGCCGGGCGACGGUUGUCCCGGUUUAAGCGUGUAGGCUGGUUUUCCAGGCAAAUCCGGAAAAUCAAGGCUGAGGCGUGAUGACGAGGCACUACGGUGCUGAAGCAACAAAUGCCCUGCUUCCAGGAAAAGCCUCUAAGCAUCAGGUAACAUCAAAUCGUACCCCAAACCGACACAGGUGGUCAGGUAGAGAAUACCAAGGCGCUUGAGAGAACUCGGGUGAAGGAACUAGGCAAAAUGGUGCCGUAACUUCGGGAGAAGGCACGCUGAUAUGUAGGUGAAGCGACUUGCUCGUGGAGCUGAAAUCAGUCGAAGAUACCAGCUGGCUGCAACUGUUUAUUAAAAACACAGCACUGUGCAAACACGAAAGUGGACGUAUACGGUGUGACGCCUGCCCGGUGCCGGAAGGUUAAUUGAUGGGGUUAGCGGUAACGCGAAGCUCUUGAUCGAAGCCCCGGUAAACGGCGGCCGUAACUAUAACGGUCCUAAGGUAGCGAAAUUCCUUGUCGGGUAAGUUCCGACCUGCACGAAUGGCGUAAUGAUGGCCAGGCUGUCUCCACCCGAGACUCAGUGAAAUUGAACUCGCUGUGAAGAUGCAGUGUACCCGCGGCAAGACGGAAAGACCCCGUGAACCUUUACUAUAGCUUGACACUGAACAUUGAGCCUUGAUGUGUAGGAUAGGUGGGAGGCUUUGAAGUGUGGACGCCAGUCUGCAUGGAGCCGACCUUGAAAUACCACCCUUUAAUGUUUGAUGUUCUAACGUUGGCCCCUGAUCGGGGUUGCGGACAGUGUCUGGUGGGUAGUUUGACUGGGGCGGUCUCCUCCUAAAGAGUAACGGAGGAGCACGAAGGUUGGCUAAUCCUGGUCGGACAUCAGGAGGUUAGUGCAAUGGCAUAAGCCAGCUUGACUGCGAGCGUGACGGCGCGAGCAGGUGCGAAAGCAGGUCAUAGUGAUCCGGUGGUUCUGAAUGGAAGGGCCAUCGCUCAACGGAUAAAAGGUACUCCGGGGAUAACAGGCUGAUACCGCCCAAGAGUUCAUAUCGACGGCGGUGUUUGGCACCUCGAUGUCGGCUCAUCACAUCCUGGGGCUGAAGUAGGUCCCAAGGGUAUGGCUGUUCGCCAUUUAAAGUGGUACGCGAGCUGGGUUUAGAACGUCGUGAGACAGUUCGGUCCCUAUCUGCCGUGGGCGCUGGAGAACUGAGGGGGGCUGCUCCUAGUACGAGAGGACCGGAGUGGACGCAUCACUGGUGUUCGGGUUGUCAUGCCAAUGGCACUGCCCGGUAGCUAAAUGCGGAAGAGAUAAGUGCUGAAAGCAUCUAAGCACGAAACUUGCCCCGAGAUGAGUUCU
rnacentral:rRNA from 1 species